rnacentral:rRNA from 1 species
AGCGAACGCUGGCGGCAGGCUUAACACAUGCAAGUCGAACGGAUCCUUCGGGAUUAGUGGCGGACGGGUGAGUAACACGUGGGAACGUGCCUUUUGGUUCGGAACAACACAGGGAAACUUGUGCUAAUACCGGAUGUGCCCUUCGGGGAAGGAUUAUCGCCAUUAGAGCGGCCCGCGUCUGAUUAGCUAGUUGGUGAGGUAAAGGCUCACCAAGGCUACGAUCAGUAGCUGGUC